rnacentral:rRNA from 1 species
AGAGUUUGAUCAUGGCUCAGAGCGAACGCUGGCGGCAGGCUUAACACAUGCAAGUCGAGCGGGCGUAGCAAUACGUCAGCGGCAGACGGGUGAGUAACGCGUGGGAACGUACCUUUUGGUUCGGAACAACACAGGGAAACUUGUGCUAAUACCGGAUAAGCCCUUACGGGGAAAGAUUUAUCGCCGAAAGAUCGGCCCGCGUCUGAUUAGCUAGUUGGUGAGGUAACGGCUCACCAAGGCGACGAUCAGUAGCUGGUCUGAGAGGAUGAUCAGCCACAUUGGGACUGAGACACGGCCCAAACUCCUACGGGAGGCAGCAGUGGGGAAUAUUGGACAAUGGGCGCAAGCCUGAUCCAGCCAUGCCGCGUGAGUGAUGAAGGCCCUAGGGUUGUAAAGCUCUUUUGUGCGGGAAGAUAAUGACGGUACCGCAAGAAUAAGCCCCGGCUAACUUCGUGCCAGCAGCCGCGGUAAUACGAAGGGGGCUAGCGUUGCUCGGAAUCACUGGGCGUAAAGGGUGCGUAGGCGGGUCUUUAAGUCAGGGGUGAAAUCCUGGAGCUCAACUCCAGAACUGCCUUUGAUACUGAAGAUCUUGAGUUCGGGAGAGGUGAGUGGAACUGCGAGUGUAGAGGUGAAAUUCGUAGAUAUUCGCAAGAACACCAGUGGCGAAGGCGGCUCACUGGCCCGAUACUGACGCUGAGGCACGAAAGCGUGGGGAGCAAACAGGAUUAGAUACCCCCGUAGUCC